rnacentral:rRNA from 1 species
UACGUAGGGGCUAGCGUUAUCCGGAAUUACUGGGCGUAAAGGGUGCGUAGGCGGUCUUUCAAGCCAGAAGUGAAAGGCUACGGCUCAACCGUAGUAAGCUUUUGGAACUGUAAGACUUGAGUGCAGGAGAGGAGAGUGGAAUUCCUAGUGUAGCGGUGAAAUGCGUAGAUAUUAGGAGGAACACCAGUAGCGAAGGCGGCUCUCUGGACUGUAACUGACGAUGAGGCACGAAAGCGUGGGGAGCAAACAGGAUUAGAUACUCGGGUAGUCCCUGA